rnacentral:rRNA from 1 species
GGUCAACAUGAGGGCGUCUUCUAUGGCCACCUCUUCCAAACAUGAUCUCAAGGGGGCAAGACAACCCGCUAGACUUAAGCAUAUUAAUCAGCGGAGGAAAAGAAACUAACAAGGAUUCCCCUAGUAACUGCGAGUGAAGAGGGAACAGCUCAACGUGUGAAUCUGACUUGGUCUAACACCUUGUCCGACUUGUGCACUAUUGACACUGGCUCAGCGUAUAAAUGCUAAAGGCGGAUGUCCGAUGAAACACGGCACCAUAGUGGGUCACAGUCCUAUACAUGCCUAUUGGUGUUUACGCAUAUGACCAGUGCUCAUCGAGUCGUGUAGUUUUGUAUUGCUGCACUAAUUGGGAGGUAGAGCCCUUCUAAAGCUAAAUAUUAUGGCAUGACCGAUAGCAAACAAGUACCGUGAGGGAAAGGUGAAAAGCAACCAUGCAGAAUGGGUUGAAAGAGUAGUGAAAGUGCUACCGGGAUAAGGGCUAGUGAUUGCAAGUGCAGACUGCAUGUGCUUUAGUGCUAUGCAAACUGCCGUCAUGCAUCGAUUGGGUUGGGGAGAACAGGUUGGUGGAGAUUCAGCUCGAUCCAGAGUGUUGUAAUCCAUCAGACAA